GUAGGUGUAUUUUGUCACACCUUGGUACCCCCUGGGGUCUUAGUUUGUGUGUGGCAAAUGGUUCCUGCAUGUCACGUGAUCCAGCAUAUAACGAGGCUCUUUGCAAUGUGGGUUCAAAGUCUUGUCAAGUAUAGGUCACGUGAUAUCAUCUGUACGGCACGUGACAACCUUUCCCCCUCAAAAAACUAGCUUCCUUGAAGUUAGAAUAAAAUCACUGAAACAGCAGACUAAGUAGGUGAAAAUCCAAUGGUAAUGAGACAUGAAAUGGUCUUAGGAAGUUUCAUAUCACAGUGCUGUUUAAAGUCCGUGUUUUCUUCAGAUAAGAUCUAAGUUCAAUUAUAUCAUUUGACCUGGUUGUUGUGGGUUUGGGGACGACUGAGCUACUCUCACCAGACAUGCUCACAAAAGCAUUAACUUGAUAUCGUCGGUUCCCUCUGAAUGUCUGUCCUCGAGCGACGACGAGC